GGGAAUAUUGCACAAUGGGCGAAAGCCUGAUGCAGCAACGCCGCGUGAGUGAUGAAGGUCUUCGGAUUGUAAAGCUCUGUCUUUUGGGACGAUAAUGACGGUACCAAAGGAGGAAGCCACGGCUAACUACGUGCCAGCAGCCGCGGUAAUACGUAGGUGGCGAGCGUUGUCCGGAUUUACUGGGCGCAAAGGGUGCGUAGGCGGAUGUUUAAGUGAGAUGUGAAAUACCCGGGCUUAACUUGGGUGCUGCAUUUCAAACUGGAUAUCUAGAGUGCAGGAGAGGAGAAUGGAAUUCCUAGUGUAGCGGUGAAAUGCGUAGAGAUUAGGAAGAACACCAGUGGCGAAGGCGAUUCUCUGGACUGUAACUGACGCUGAGGCACGAAAGCGUGGGUAGCAAACAGGAUUAGAUACCCUGGUAGUCCACGCCGUAAACGAUGAGUACUAGGUGUAGGAGGUAUCGACCCCUUCUGUGCCGCAGUAAACACAUUAAGUACUCCGCCUGGGAAGUACGAUCGCAAGAUUAAAAC
rnacentral:rRNA from 1 species